rnacentral:rRNA from 1 species
GUCUCAGUUCGGAUUGUAGGCUGAAACUCGCCUCAUGAAGCUGGAGUUGCUAGUAAUCGCGAAUCAGCAUGUCGCGGUGAAUACGUUCCCGGGCCUUGUACACACCGCCCGUCACACCAUGAGAGUUGGCAAUACCCAACGUACGUGAUCUAACCCGCAAGGGAGGAAGCGUCCUAAGGUAGGGUCAGCGAUUGGGGUGAAGUCGUAACAAGGUACC